rnacentral:rRNA from 1 species
GUCUUAUUGAUAAUAAUUUUAAGUCGAUCUGCCCAAUGAUAAUGAUAUUAAAUGGCUGCAGUAUAAUUGACUGUACAAAGGUAGCAUAAUCAAUUGGUUUUUAAUUGAAAUCUGGAAUGAAAGGAUUAAUGAAAUAUAUACUGUCUCAUAUAUAUAUUAUGAAUUUAAAAUUUUAAUAAAAAUGUUAAAAUUUUUUUAUGGGACGAUAAGACCCUAUAGAAUUUUAUAUAAUUUUAUUUUUGUAAUUAAUAUAAAAUUUAAAUUUAUAUUUAGUUGGGAGAACUAUUAAAUUUAAUAAAUUUUAAUUUUAAUUUACUUUAAUUAAAGGAAAAAAUUUUUGAUCUUUAAUUUAAAAUAAUUAGAAUAAAUUACCUUAGGGAUAACAGCGUUAUAUUUUUUUAUAGAUCUUAUAGAAAAAAAUGAUUGCGACCUCGAUGUUGAAUUAAGAUAAAUUUUAAAUGUAGAAGUUUAAUAAUUAAGUCUGUUCGACUUUUAAAAUCUUACAUGAUUUGAGUUCAAAUCGACGUGAGU